UACGUAGGGACCAAGCGUUGUCCGGAAUCAUUGGGCGUAAAGCGCGCGUAGGUGGCUUCGUAAGUCCGUUGUGAAAGUCAAAGGCUCAACCUUUGAAAGCCGAUGGAUACUGCGGAGCUAGAGUACGGAAGAGGCGAGUGGAAUUCCUGGUGUAGCGGUGGAAUGCGCAGAUAUCAGGAGGAACACCAAUAGCGAAGGCAGCUCGCUGGGACGUACUGACACUGAGGCGCGAAAGCGUGGGGAGCAAACAGG
rnacentral:rRNA from 1 species